UUUCCGUGUGCGGCGUGAGUCCGGGCAGAGCGCACCCGGGGGAAUCGGGAGCACGGGAAGUGACUUUUCCUCCGCUUCAGGAACGUGGUCGCAGCUGCACCGUGACACGGACGCCCACAUGUGACUUCAACAACGCAAAUGGCAGAGCUCGGUUCCCGCAGCGACGUCGCCGUGCACCUGCCGGCUGGUCUCAGACUGCGAAAAACCGCGCGUCUUAGCAAAGGCAGGGCAGGACCCCGGCAGAAACGCUGCCUGAGCUCUGACCCCUGGCGCUCCCGGCAUCCACCCCAAUUUUCCAUCUGGUCUCCAUUAUCUCACUUCGGCGCCUUCACAGACUUUGCUGGAAACGAAAGCAGUCAGUGUUCCUCUUCCCGUCUUCGGUGCUGGCCGAGGCGUGCCUCCUGCCACAGGGAGGAGAGCCCCCGGGGGUCCGGUCCACACAGCCCUCGCUCGCCCCUGCCCUGAGCCACCCGGCCUCUGCUGCUCCCUGGAAAGGCUCUGGAAUUCCUGAUUCCACAUCAUCUGUGCGUGUCAGGCCCGGCACACUGUUCCAGCCAGCUGUCUCCAACCCCCCGGGGUCCCCUCCUGUCUGUGGCCGGGGCUCCCCUGACCCGUGGCUGCUGCUUCCUCGGGCUGCAGGCUCCAGAGGAAAGCAGACGAGCCGGGUCUGGACCUGCCGGGUGCGUUCCCAGCGUUCUUCUGAGAGAGGUCCUGCAACAGCCCCCACCCGUGCCCCCCUGUAUCCCCAGGCCUGGCCAUCCCGGCACCACCCCCUACCAUCACAGAGCCCCGCCCCCCGCCCCGCCCCCCGCAAGCCACUGCCUGUGAGGCCGGAGCGCAGACGGCGUGGGAAUUACAACGUCGACCCUGAGAGCCCGCACCUCACCUCUUCGUGAUCAUCUCUGGAAAAGGGAUAUCAUGCGUGUAUUCUGAAUCACUUACGACCCACCCCUGGUUACCCGCUACUGUGAGGAGAGUCGGGGCCACAUUCGCACGUGUAUUUACCACUGAGGUGCCACAGAGCAGGGACGCUUGGACUAUCACAAGGACAGAGACAGGGGUGCCUGGGAGGGCUCAGUCUGUUGAGCAUCCAACUUCGGCCCAGGUCA